AACUCGCUGCAACACGGAAGUGAUGGAAGAUACAAACAAGCCGUUAACUAAAAAAAGAUGCCGGCUUUUUUCUUUGCUUCGGAUUUCAAUAUUCAGCGGCAGCUCGAUGGAGCCGUGAGGAAUGAGUCGUUUUUGUCAGUAGUGGAGCGAAUGUAAAGCCUCGUUAGCCGCUUCGGAGCCGACGGAGCCCCACGGUGAACACCGACGCAGACGCAGCUGACGCCGCUGCUGCUCUCCAGCCAGGGAGCAGAAGGAGAGCAACAUGGCUGACAUGGAGAACGAUGAGGAGAACCAUCAGAACAACAGGAUCUCCUUCAGGAGGAAGCAGCUACCAGCAGAUAUGGCAGAGCUCCAUGGAGAGUUGAGACAAACAGAAAAAUAAAAGUUGUUGUGUCUCAGUGA